UCGGAAACCGUUCCUUUCUCUACUCGUUUCCCGAAGCGGAUCUCUGACUGAGUCAGUGGUCCAGAAAUCACUACAACAAAAACAGUCUAUAGCGACACUUUUAAAUAUCGGUACAGGUCAAAAAAAGUACUGCUAGUUAAAUUACCGACAGUUUUGAAUAGUGUCGCUAUAUGUGGGUUCGCUAGGUAUAUAGUGACAGUUAAAGAGUAUUGCUAUAGGCUAAAAAGAGUGCUGCUAAUUUACCAACACCUAUUUAAGCAUUUAACAACCGCCGGAACUCUACCUCGUUGGCUGCGGUGGCGGAGGAGGACAAGAGGGAAGAGAUCUUCAUCUAAGAUUUCAGUAGAUUAAGUGAAGGGAGAAUGGGGAUGGUAAUUGAUUUUUUUUUUUCUUUUUUAUUUGUAAUAGGCCGAAUGGGCUAGGUAGGGUGGGUUGAGUAGAGUAAUCUUUUAUUUUUGGUUGGAUUGAGCUUUAUACUUAGUCAUUAGUAUAUUUUUUUUUAAGUUUUGAUAUAAAUGAGACACUUAUAUAAAAAUGUUCUAAACAUGUGUCUCUAUAAUUUUAUUUUGUUGCAGUGAAUUCGACUCCCAACAGCUCAAUUUUUAAUAAUGACUAGUGAAAAGUACCAUUGAACAUGUCCAAAGGCCAUGGCUCUUGGUGAAAUAUGAAUAUUUCUGUUCAGUAACUUUAGUUUGACAAAUUUAAUGUCUGAUAUGGUACAUGCUAUUAUUAAAUUCUACAAUACUUCACUAAUCAAUAUAUUUUAGUUCUGUUUGAAAUUCAGUUGGACAAGUUAUAUUUCUUAGAGGCGUGCUACAAAUACAAUACACCACUUAGAUCAUAGCUAUUAACUUUUUAAAAAAUUAACGGCUGAGAUGUCACUUUGACUUCAUAAGAACCGACUAUUGAAGCCCGGUACGAGUCAUCCAAUAGGAAUAAAAAAUUACUAGUGAUCCGCGCAAUGCAGCGAAUAAAUAUAUUAUAAUUUUUUAAAAUUUAAAUUCGAAAUUUUAGAUCCUUAUAUUUCUAUAAGUUAUUUUGUAAAGAGUAGAAUACAUUUACUUUAAAAGUUUUAGUAAUUUUAAACUAUAUUAAAAAGUAUGAAGAUUCUUUUUUGAACAUUUCAAUUUUUUACACUGAAGCAUCACGAUAGAUAUCAAAACACAUUUAUUUCUGACAACUUUAUAUAGAUGGCUUAUUAUAUAGAUAGUGACGUGUAUGUUUAAUAAGAAACAAUAGAAAAUAUAUUUAGCAAACAAAUUCUAAUAUAUUCAUUAGAUUGCGCUAAGUAUGGCGUUAGGUUGCGUAAUAAUUGAUCAUUGCAAAACUUCUAAACCCUAAUAUAAACAAAUCUACCAAAAUUUUCAAUACAAUCAAAUCAUUAUACAAUGGAGAUAUUAUGAUUUGUAAACAAAAAUAAAUAUAAAAAUUUAUAACAUAGUAACCAAAAUAUUAAAAGCAAAUAUUAAAAAAAUAUAGAAAUCCUAAAAAAAAAUUAUCUUAAAUUUGAAGAGUCGAAUCUCACGUAAUUUAAAAUAUACUGUACGGUAGAAAAAUCUGAUUAAACAAAUAAAACAUCAAAUUCAAAUCAAAGAAAAACAUUUCAAAAUAUAGUUAAUCGUUACAGGCAGAUACGGUCAAUUUUCUUGAGACAAAAUAAACAGUAUUUAGUAUAUCAUUUUUUAUUCAUCCAAAAUGAGUAUGAAUACAACCCUUUAUAUAGACUCUAAAAUAACAUUUAAUAUUCUAGGAUGACUUUUCAUUUUCUUGUAUUAAAAUAUAUGACUUUUUAUAUUUCCAACUUUUUAAAUUCUUAAAUUUAUUAAGUUAUCCAAUAUUUCAACUUCUAAUUAAUUUUAAAAAAUAAUAAAAAAAUUGGUGGGUCCGACACCAUUAAUUUAAGGGGUAGUAGGGCCACAUUCCCAAAUCAACGGGAUGGUGAUCUAUCCAUAGAAAAAAAAAAUGAUGAAUGAAAAAAUUCAAUUAAUUUGAAAAAAUAAAAAAAAUAGAUGACUUUUCAUAUUUCCAACUUUUGAAAUUCUUCAAUAUAUUAAGUUAUCCAACCUUUCAACUUCUAAUUAAUUUUAAAAAAAUAAUAAAAAAAUUGGUGGGACCCACACCAUUAAUUUAAGGGGUAGUGGGGUCUAUCCCCAAAUUAGAGGGAUGAUAAUCUAACCAUAAAACAAAAUGAUAAAAAAAAAAUUCAAUUAAUUUGAAAAAAUAAAAAAAUUAAUGGGACCCACACUCCUAAAUUAAAGAGGUUGGGCCACAUCACUUUUAAGAACAUAAGAAUUCAUAGUUUUAUAUAGAUAUAGAUUUUGGUGCAAUGAAAUUCCUCAAUCAUAUCUUAAGAAUGGUAUUAUGAACUUUUAUAUUUCUAAAUUUAUUCCUAAUUUAUUCCUAACUAGCGUAGGGACCUACGCUAUGCGACGGAUAAAAAUAUUUUAGUAAAAAUCUAAAGAGUACAGAUUUAAUAAACAAAUGUUAAAAAGAAACAGAAGAAAUAAUUAAAAUAUUAUGAAAGAUAAUAAAUAAUGAGAGAAAAACUAAAGAAGCUUAAAUUCACAUUUAACUAAUCAUAUUUAUCUAUUCUAUCAUCUUUCCUAACUCAAAUUAGAUUUCUUUUAAAAGCCAAUCAUUAUGCGGGCGGUUUUAGAAGAUGAGGGGUCUUGGAGGUUGGAAAAUGAGAAGGGAACGGUUUUGAAAGAUGAGGGGUCUCAGGAGGUUGAGAGAUGAGAGGGGAGCAGUUUUAGGAAAAGGAGGUCACGUCACGUCAGCAAGAUAUUGAGAAUUCAUAGAUUAGUAUAGAUACACCACUUAGGGACUGUUUGGUUACAUGCAUUUCCAACCGCUAUGCAUGCAUCUAUUAAUUUUUUGUUUGGUUUGGUGUAGUUAGGUCCAAUUGCUGCCGUUGCAUCUAUACGGAAAGGCCCAACUGCAGCAGUUGGUACUGCAGCCAAUUUUGACUGCAGUACCAACUGCUGCAGCUGGGCCGGAGUCAACUCACCCAUUAAAAAAAAACAAAGUGUGAUUUCCUUUUCAUUCGUUUCUUUUUUAUUUUUUUUUAAAAUACAUAUUCAUGAAAUCGGAUAGGAUUUAGUAAUAUUUGUUAGGGUCAAUAAAUUUUUUUCAUACACUUCUUAUUUUUCAAUCAUCUAGUUUAAUAAUAUUUUUAUUUUUAUUUUUUACCAAAUUUAUAUAUUUAUAUUUAAAAUUUAUUAAAUUCAUACUUAAGUUUAUAAUAUAUAAAUUAUAUAUAGAUUUAAAAGUCUUAAUUAAUAAUUAAAACAUGAUUACGUCAUACUCAGAAGAAGUAAUCUCACAUUUCUAUCAAAAAAUUGACAGAAUUUAUAAAUAUAAAUCUCAACUGCAGACUACCAAACAGAAGAAAUAUAACUACAGUAGUUGCAACUGUAUAAACCAAACAGACUAGGUGUAGUUAUGACUGCAGCAUUUAUAACUGUAUGUAAUUUUAAUUACACUAUUUUUAUAACUACAUCCAACCAACCGGCCCUUUAAUGAUUUUUGGAGAGAGAAAUCAACUCCUUUCUUUUGAGGUUAUGGUGUUACGGUGUCGAUUUUGAGAGAACUCUCUAUCUAAUUACACCAUGUUAUUUAAAAAGAAAAAAAAAACUUUUAAAUAUAGACAUUCGAAUUGUGAAUUUAAUAUUGGAAGAAAUUAAAAUUUUGAAAUUUGAAUCAAAUUCAAAAUAUCCUAACAUAUAUAGUACCAAUUAAAAUAAAACUUUCAAUUCAAAUUACAUUUCCAUUUCAAUUUAAAGAAAGAAGUUGGUUUCGUAAGUUAUAGAGCAUAUUAAAUUCAAAUUUAAAAUUAAUAUUCAAAAACAGAAACUUUAUAUUUAACUAAAUAAUAAAAGUUAGGUUUAUAAGUAAUAGUACAAAUUAAAUUCGAAUUUAAAAUUCAAAUUUAAUUUUCAAAAAUAAAAUUCUUUAUUUCGAAAUAAAUAAUAAAUUUUGAAUCCAAAUUGUUAAUUCAAUAUCGAAACAACAUAAAAUUUCGAAAAUCUUAAUCAAAUUCAAAUUUGUCUUGACAAUAAAUUCAAAUUGAUAAUAAAAACUUUUGAUUCAAUUUUGAUCAAAAACUUACAUUUCAAAUUAAAUUUUAAAUUCAAAUUUAGUUUAUUUAUUGAGGAGUUAGCUACUUAACAAAUUAGCCACUAUCUAAUUACAUAAGUCGGGAAAUCAAGUAAAGAAACAAAAAAUUGUAGGGCACAUAAUCGGCUAGUAAGGAAACAAAUUAGCCAUUUCAAUUCAAAUUUAGCAUUCCAAUUUCAACCUAAAGUGAGAAGUUGGUUUCAUAAAUACUAGCGUAAAUUAAAAUAAAAUUAUAUUUUUCAAUUUAAUUUUCAAACAUAUAAACUUUAUGUUCAAAUAAAUAACUAAAAUUGGGUUUAUAAGUAACAAUAUAAAUCAAAUUCGAACUUAAAAUUUAAAUUGAAUUCAAAAAUAAAAGUUAUAUUUAAAUAAAUAAUAAAUUUUGAAUUCAAAUUUGUUAAAUCAAUAUUGAAGAGUUCAAAAUUUUAAAAUAAUGGCUUAAUUACACUAUACUAGCUUGUACUUCACAAAAUUUUCACUUUCUACUGUGUACUUUUUUUCUUCUUUUUUUUUUUCACCGAAGGCACCACUCAACCAUCUUUUUUUCAAUUCCUAGGAUUAUUGGGGUGUCACAAACUCUCCACGUUAAGGCCCUGGCGUCCUUGUUAGUCCAAUCACACACACAGCCCAAGAUCACCAGGCGAUGUGAGACUCGUCUCGCUAGCCCGUCAUCCAGACCCUAGCUCAGCAGAAACUCGCCACACAUGUCCAGUUGAUGAACCGGCUCUGAUACCAAAUGUAACGACCCGACCCGCUAGCAAUAAUAACUCGUUGGGCCCAACCACCAGCCUAAAAUGCUUAUGCCAGUUAUUAUUAGCAGCGUGGAGGUCUCAUAUAAACUGAUCGGAAUCAAUAUCCUAUCCGAUGUGGGAUUAUUGGGGCGUUACAAACUCUCCCUGUUUAGACCCUGACGUCCUCGUCGGGUCCAAACCAGAUCACAGACAGACAGACCAGAACCAGGACCAUUACCAGGCGAUCUGAGAUUGUAGAGGUGGCUCCUACGGGUUCAAGAGGUGGCUCACACCAAACCCGUUGGUGUAGCACUUUGUCCCGCAUAGCACUUAGUUCUCACACUUCCGGCUAGUAUUUGCUCUGAUACCAAUUGCAACAAUCCGACCUGCUAGCAACAAUAACUCGUUGGACCCAAACCACCGGUCCAAAAUGCUUAAGCCCAGUUAUUAUUACUAGUGUUUAAGUCUCUUAUAAACCCAAUGACAACAAUCUCAUUCCCAUCCGAUGUGGGAUUAUUGGGGUGUUACAGACUCCCCCCAUUAUUUCCAUCCGAUGUGGGAUCCGUUAAGGCCCUGACGUCCUCGUCAGUCCAAUCACACACAUCCGAUGUAUCCGAUGUGGGAUUAUGUAUCCGAUGUGGGAUUAUUGGGGUGUUACAGACUCCCCCCGUUAAGGAUCUGACAUCCUCGUAAGUCCAAUCACACACACAGCCCAAGAUCACCAACCGAUGUGAGACUCGUCUCGCUAGCCCGUCAUCCAGACCCUGUCUCAGCCGAGACUCGCCACACAUGUCCAGCUGGUGAACCGGCUCUGAUACCAAAUGUAACAACCCGACCCGUUAGCAACAAUAACUCGUUGGGCCCAAACCACUGACCCAAAAUGCUUAAGCCCAGUUAUUAUAACUAGCAUGUAGGUCUCAUAUAUUCUAAUCAGAAUUAGUUUCUCACCCGAUGUGGGAUUAUUGGGGGCGUUACAAACUCCCCCUGUUUAGACCUUGACGUCCUCGUCGGGUCCAAACCAGAUAGCGAUGUGAAAUUCUAGAGGUGGCUCCUACGGGUUCAAGAGGUGGCUCCCACCAAAUCUGUUGGUGUAGCAUUUUGUCCUGCAUAGCACUUAGUUCUCACACUUCCGGCUGGUAUUUGCUCUGAUACCAAAUGUAACGACUCAGCCCACUGGCAAUAAUAGCCCAACACUGGCAAUAAUAACUCGUUGGGCUGUUGGCCGCAUAGCACUUAGUUCUCACACUUCCGGCUGGUAUUUGCUCUGAUAUCAAAUGUAACGACCCAGCCCACUGGCAAUAAUAACUCGUUGGGCCUUACCAACAGCCCAAAAUGCUUAAGUCUCAUAUAUUCUAAUCAGAAUUAGUUUUCCACCCGAUGUUGGACUAUUGGGUAGAAUUAGUUUCCCACCCGAUGUGGGAUGUGGGACUAUUGGGGACGUUACAAACUCCCGACGUUAGUCUAAUCACACACAGUUCAAGAUCACCAGGCGAUGUGAGACUCGUCUCGCUAGCCCGUCAUCCAGAUCCUGGCUCAGCCGGGACUCGCCACACAUGUCCAGCUGGUGGACCAGCUCUAAUACCAAAUGUAACGACCCGACCCGCUAGCAAUAAUAACUCGUUGGGCCCAAACCAUUGGCCCAAAAUAUUUAAGCCCAGUUAUUAUAACUAGCGUGUAGAUCUCAUAUAUUCUAAUGAGAAUUAGUUUCCCACCCGAUGUGGGACUAUUGGGGGCAUUACAUAAAGAAUAAUAAAAUACAUAAAAAUUAAAAAAAGGAAAUAAAACAAUAGAAGCCGUAAAUGAGUAUAGCAUAUAGCAUCAAUUUAUAUUUUUUUCUACUAUUUAAUUAGUUCUUUGAAAAAAAAUUGUUAAAUUUUGUCUCAACUAAUAGAUUUGUUAACAAUAGUGUAGAGAUUGGUCAAAUUCUUUUAACCAAUGCCUUUUGAAGGAAUUUGGUUUAAAUUCUUUCCUCUCAAAAUCAUUAAAAAGAUGCUAGAUAUCAUAAAUACUUCAUAAAAUUUCAAUGUAUUCUAACUCAUCCAUCAAACCGUCCCAAAUUGGACUAUUUAUAAUGAUUGAUUGGAUGGAAUUGCUAGUUUAACAAUUAAAUGUAAUUCAAAUAAGUUAAAAAUUUGUUAGAAAAUUCUUUCUUAGAGAGAAUGGUGAUUUUGACUAGGCUUGACAAACGAACGAAUUGAAUAAUCCGUAGGUGGAUUAUUAUAUUCGCAGGUCAUAUAGGUAUAAGUAAAAUUUAUCCAUAAAUUUUUGCAUAGUCAAUAUUUUUUUACCCGUACACACCCAUGAGCGGUAGGACGAGUAUGCAGGUUACCUGCAAAGACUUCUUUUUUCGCUCCUAUACUUUCCAAAUCAAAACAGAUAAAUAUAUUUUUUAAAAGCAUGAAAAACAUAAUUUAUUUAGUAAAGUAUCACAACAUAUAAACAAUAUAAAAUUUUAAAAUGCAUAAGUUAUAUAUAAAAGUAUUUUAUCAUUCCAAAUUUUUGAGAUACAAAAUUAAUUAAGUUUUCGUGAUUAUAUAGUCAAUAUUAUAAAGAUUACACUUUUUAAUUAAAAAAUAUAUAUGCAGGUAUUCGUAGGUAUAAGCGCGUUGCCCAAAAUGCCCACAAUUUAACGGAUACCCACCAAUUUUACUUAUAAUUUUUUGGGUAGGAAAAACUAGUAUCCAUAUCUGCAAAUUUGCUAGUAAUAUGCGGAUACCCGUGAGUACGGAUAGAGAUUGUCAAGUCUAACUUUGACAGAGACUAGAAUACUUUUUAAAAGCAAACCGAUGCUUUUACUUCCGCACCAUUUUCAGUGAUGGAUCAUCAAAACUGAUGAUCGGCGCCAUUACAUGAGCUAGACUAUUUGAACUUCGCAAAAAUUGAAUUUUGUAAUUUUAAGAUAUCAUUUAGGUCAAAUGAUUGAAGCCUAUUUUUCUCUCAAAAAAAAAAAAAAAAAACAGAUAGCUCGCUAUCUUUCUCUUAAAAAAAAAAGAAAGAUGGUAUUUGCCUAUUCACCAUGUGUUGUCGAAUUCAUCUUAUAUUAAUCAUAUAAAAUUGUCAAUAUUUAAACCACUUGAAUACAAAACAAAUAAUUUCGAAAAAUUACAAAAUUUGAUUCCUAAAAGAUUUAAAUAAUUUAGAUCAGGUCUCGAUGGUCUUCGGAUGCCCCAUCGCGGAAAACAAUGACCUCAUUUUUCUAUUCCUAUAAACAGGAUGGUCGAGUAAAAGUUAAAAUAGAUGAAUGGAUGAUGGAUUCGUGAAUACGCUACACUCAAGGAACAAUUUCUCAUUGCCAAAUGAAUUUUUAGUGUUCUUAAUUAUUAUGGCAUGUGAGAUUUGCACACACAGCAAGAAUAUUCACAUUAAUUAAUCUACAUUAUCUUAAUUGGUGCUAAUUAAGGAUAGACUUCUUGAUGAUGAACAAGAGUUUAUUUGAUCACAAAGACUGUCAUGAAUAUUAGUCAUGUAAUAUUUGCCCUUCUCUGCUAACUUUUUUUGUGGGGUAAAUUGCAUGUUUGGUCCUCAAACUAUGAGUCUGGUGAAACUUUGGUCCUCAAUUUUUAAUUUGUUAUAAUUUUUGCUUGAAUUUUAAAAAUUAUUGCAAUUAAGUCCCAAACUUAACUUUGAUGGCCAAGUUUUAAUAGAUUGUUAAUGUAGAAGUGACGUGAAAGUGUUGUGAUUGAGAAUACAUCAAUAGUUAAGAUGCUACAUCCCAUUUACAUUAAUGAUGUAUCAAUAUAUAGUCAACUAAAUUAGGUUGUGGGACUUAAUUGUUGUAAUAAUUUCAAAAGUUUGGGGCACAAUUGCUACAAAUUAAAGUUUGGGACCAAGAUUUCACCCACCUUAUAGUUUGAAAACCAAACGUGCAAUUUGCCCUUUUUCUUAAAAUUAUCAUUUGUGAUGUACCUGAUUUGUAUUUCUCGGACAAAAAAAUUAGUUAUUUCUAUAGCCCUAUUAAGUACGCAUUUAAAGUUGUUUUUUCAUAAAUUUUUAGUAUUUAUUUUUGUCUACAAAAUCAUCACUAAUUUUCAAAGCUUUUACUUCUAAGCUAUUUUUAAGUUGUUUUGCUUAUGCACUAACAUUUUGAUUCUUUUUUUGGCAGAUUAAAUGCGCGACGAGAUCAAUGCACUGAAUUUCUAAGCACUAAAAUCUUUAAGAACUUUCACUACCAAGAAACAAUAAUGGCCGAGGUUGCAAUACUUUUAGCCAUUCAAAAGCUUGGUCUUGCAUUAGGUACAGAACUGCUGAACCAAGCUAGCUCUCUAUUUUCACAACAACUAGCAUCAUUGGCAGAGCUCCCUAAUAGUAUGGAACGCAUGAGCCGUGAACUCCAUGUGAUUCAUGGAUUCCUACUUCACAUCGAUAAGGUAGAUAGAAAAAAUCAAAUCCUAGAAGCAUGGAUAGAGGAGGUACGAAAAGUCGCAUAUACUAUUGAGGAUAUUGCGGAUGAGUAUAUCUAUCUUAUAGUUCAAGAUAAGCAACGACAAGGUGGACUGGUUGGUUAUAUGAAACAAGUGUUGAAGCAACCAAAAUCGUUUAAUAUCUUGCCUCGUAUUGCCUCUCAAAUAAAACAAGUAGAGAACGGCCUUGACCACCUCUCACGCUUAAAAGAUCGAUGGAUUCAAACAACAAGUAUUGGGCAUAGUACUAGUUCAGGUAAUGUGAGCGAAUGGACACAACAUAUGGGAAGCUCUUCUCUUUUCAUGGGUGAGGAACACCUCGUAGGGAUUGAGGAAGACCGAGAUACGUUAACUUAUUGGUUGAAGUCUGAGAAAUUGGAUCUCUGCAUAAUAACAGUGUGGGGUAUGGGCGGGCUCGGAAAAACUACUUUAGUCACCAAUGUUUAUAAAAGAGAGAGUAGAAAUUUUGACUGCUUUGCCUGGAUUUCUAUUUCUCAAACUUUUAAAGCUGAUGUUCUUUUUCGAAAAAUGAUUACUGAACUCUUUGGCGACCAAAAGAUAGUUCCAACUGACAUUGCCACCAUGGAUGAUAGAAAGUUAAGGGAGAAAGUAAAAGAAUUAUUAGGCCAAAAAAAGUAUCUAAUUGUACUAGAUGAUGUAUGGGACCCGCGAGCAUUUUAUGAAUUGCAAGAUUCUCUUGUUGAUGAUCAGAAAGGAAGUAGAAUAUUUAUUACAACCAGAAAUGAAGAAGUAGCAUCACUUGCAAACAAAGACUAUAAGCUUGAACUCAAACCUUUAUCCCCUCGUGAUGCGUGGAAUCUUUUCUGCAAGAGAGCAUUUAGGAACGAAGGAAAUCAAAAAUGUCUUCGGGAGUUAAAAAAAUGUGCAGGCAAAAUCGUGGCCAAGUGCAAAGGGUUGCCACUAGCUAUUGUAUCACUUGGCAAUCUCCUGUGCUUAAGAGAGAAUAGAGAGACUGAAUGGAAGCGAGUUUGUGAUCAGCUUAAUUACGAGCUUGCAAACAACCCAAGUCUCAAUCCCGUGAGAAACAUCUUGAAUUUGAGCUUCGACUGUCUUCCAAGACAUCUAAAGAAUUGCUUCCUCUCUUGCAGCAUGUUCCCAGAGAAUCAUCUUCUUAAAAGAAAAUUGCUUAUCAGGCUAUGGAUAGCAGAGGGUUUUGCAGUAGAAAGAGGAUCAAGCACGGCUGAGGAAGUUGCAGAAGGAUACCUCAUGGAGCUUAUCCGUCAGAGCAUGUUGCAAGUAGAAGAGAAGAACCACUUUGGUAGGGUAAUGUAUUGUCGGAUGCAUAAUCUUGUUCGUGAGCUGGCUGUCUCUUUAUCUGAAAGGGAGAAGUUUCACAGUAUUUAUCAGGAUAACGGGAGGGAAAGGGUGGUCGAUGCUAAUGCCCGUCGCCUGUCUGUUCUCAAAUGCAGCAAUGAUAUUGGAUUCGACAUUGAUCUACCACGGCUACGAACCUUUAUAGCAUUUGACACUACUAUGCCAUCAUCCUCAUUUUUACCUAUGUUUCCAUCCAAAUCAAGGUAUAUUGCAAUUCUGGAACUGCAAGGCUUUCCUAUUGAGAAUAUACCCAAUGCUAUUGGAGACUUAUUCAAUUUGCGAUAUUUGGGUUUAAGAGAUACAAAGGUAAAAUUACUACCAAAAUCCAUUGGCAAGCUUUCCAACUUGUUGAUCUUGGACCUCUGUCGAUCAGCUAUACAAAAGCUGCCUCGUGAGAUCACGAAUCUCAAGAAGUUGCGGCACAUGUUUGUUGAGAGGGUAAAUGACCCGACCGGAAAAGCCUUUCGCUUGCGUAGUGGUGUACGUGCACCAAAGGGUUUGUGGAAUUUAAAAGAAUUGCAAACGUUGCAGGCGGUUGAAGCAAGUAGCGAGUUGGUUGGGCGACUAGGAAAUUUGACCAACCUAAGAAGCUUUAGAAUAUGGAAUGUAAAGGAAACCUACUCUGCACAACUGUGUGCAUCAUUAUCACAGAUGCGUAGUCUUUCCUACUUAAGCAUUAAUGCAAGUGAUGAAAAUGAGUUUCUCAAUUUGAAAGGCCUGAAUCCCCCUCCCACGAAUCUUAAAAAGCUUACUCUAACAGGUAGAUUGGCAGCAGGAACGAUGGAGUGUCCUUUGUUCCAAGAUCUCCGAGAAUUAUGUCUAGUUUGGUGUCAGCUAACUGUGGAUCCACUUCCGUCACUCGCUCACUUAUCAAACCUCACUUACCUACUUCUUCAAGGGGCGUAUAAUGGGCAUCAGUUGUGCUUUCGUGUUCAGUGGUUCCCUAAUUUGAAGCUGCUUCACUUGAUUGACCUGCUGCAACUCGAACGAGUGAUGAUAGAGGAGACAGCCAUGUCAAACUUGGAAACUCUAUAUAUGGAAGACCUCAAAAAACUAAUAGAGGUCCCAGAAGGCAUUGAAUUCCUCACAUCGUUGCGGAAGCUAGUUUUGUAUGAUAUGGAUCCUCGUUUGACCAGUGGUUUAGAAGAAAACGACAAACUUGGACACAUCAGCUCCAUCUAUACUAAGUAGGAAGCACUCGAGGUGCCUUCUUUUCGCCUGGAUUCACUCACAAGUAAGUUUCUGCAUGUUUAAUUCAAUUGUGUGAAUAUCUUGCUCACAAAUUUCACCCCCGUGCGUUCUUUUACAAAGUUCACCAAGUUUUCAUGUUUAAUCCAACACUACUUGCGUACGACACAUAAACUAUGUUAGUAUGCAUAUCUUAUGUCUAAUUUAUUGAUUUUCUCUUCUUUGAUUUGAUUUUUCUUCGUUUUAAUCUCAUUUGGAUCCACAAGCAUAUGAUUAAUAUAUUUUUAUGAACUUAAAUUCCAUAAUAAAAUUCCUAGUUAGGCAAUUGCUAAAACAUUGUUUUUUUCAAUACAGUAUAGUUCUGAUCUCAUAUUUAUUUAGCCAACAUAUAAAUUGCUAGGAACAUAUGGAAGUGCGAGAAAAGAGCGAGAGUAGCGAGAUUAGAAGUGUAGGGAGUGAGGAAGGAGGUCAGGAGAAGUUAAGGAGGAGCCUGUGUCGAGAUAAGGGGAGGAAGAAGCGGAAGUCGAAGAGGCUAGCUUGGGCAGACGAAGUAGGUGGAAAGUUAUUGAAGGUCUUCGACAAUCAUGAUGACGAAGAUGUGGCCUUUCACGCUGCAUACGAGGUAGGUGGAAAGUUAUUGAAGGUCUUCGACGAUCAUGAUGACGAAGAUGUGGCCUUUCAAGCUGCAGACGAGGUAGGUAGAAAGUUAUUGAAGGUCUUCGACGAUCAUGAUGACGAAGAUGUGGCCCUUCACGCUUCCACCAAAGGUGACUCCCGAGGGAAAAAGGUAGGUUUUAAUGAUGACCCCUCCUAGGCGUGCUUAGGGCUUCACCUAAGGGGGCUGGGAGUGGGAGGCCGGCCUUACCUGCUUUCAGCAAAGGAGACCGCCGAGGAAAAAAGCUUGGUUUUAAUGAUGAACACCUUUUGGGUGUGCUUCGGGCUUCGCUAGAGGGUUCGGGGAGCGAGAGGUUGGUUUUACGUGCAUCCAGCAAAGGCAUCCCCCGAGGGGAAAAAGUGGAGGUUAAUGCAGAUCACCCUCCGGGAGUGCUACAGGCUGCGCCUGACGGCUCAAGGAGGGGGAAAAAGACCAGGGGGGAAAGUGGCGACAUUUACUACCCUAAGCUUGCUUCUGGGUCCUAUAAGGAGGCGCUGAUGAGAGCUCCGAGAAAACAGCCUCCUACUAACACUCGCCAAGCUUUUCGUAUAUCUCAUCCUUCUGGCCUCACGGGUUUUCCGAACCGUAGACGAGAGGUGAGGUGCUUCCGGUGUCUCGCGAGAGAUCACAGAGUAGCGGAGUGCCGCGACCCUGUGCGGUGCUCCAGGUGCUGGAAAACGGGACACCGAGCUCGCAGCUGCGGAGGACUAAGGAAGAGAGGUCACUUCGGCAUGAAUAGGGAGGUGCACCGUAGAGCACGAGUACCCCUGCCGAAGGUGUACAUUCCGUACACGGAGGAGUACCUGCGGAGAGUGGAAAUGAGACGGAAUGCCAUCCUUGCGGAUGUGAUCCAGCCGGCUAACCUUGGACCGGAUCCUAUUUCUACCAUCAAGAGUGCCUUGGCGAGUCGGUUCGGGGGGUACAAAGAUGACUUCGCGGUGGCGCGUUGCAGGGAAAGGGAAUACGCAAUAUUCCUACCGGAAUGGGCCCUGGCACCAGCGCUCGUCCGAAGGGAAAUCCUAACCCUCAACAACUUCUGGUUAAGGGUUUACCCCUGGGGUCAGUAUCGCUAUGUUCGUCCACACCCUGCUCGCUUUCGAGCUUGGAUCCGUCUUAUAAAUCUUCCAUUCGAGAUAUGGUCGGUGGCGCGCGUGGCGACGCUAGUCAGUGGUUUUGGACGCUUCAUAAAGGCGGACGGAGUGACCAAGGCGAUGACGGAUUUUCGAGCUUUUCGGUGCCAAAUCAGCCUUGACUCGAUCGGUGCUAUCCCCCAGAACCUAUUGGUCAUUAUCGGCGACGAACUGUUCUCGGUUAUGGUCCAUCUGGAGAGCUAGGAACGGAUAGAGAACGCGGGGAUUCCGGCACCCCCUGCGAACGGGCAGGAGGACGACGGGGCGCUGAUGGGAGACCGGCAAAACAGGCAACCCGAUAUUGGAGGAAACAGAGGAAAUGACCAGACGGACGAAGAGAUGGAAAACGAGGAGGGAGAGCUAGAGGAAGUUGAGCCCGCUCUGUCGACGCAGAGGGGGAGGGGGACCUCAAGGGCUUCUAGGCUGCCCAUGGUUACCGACCUGGCUUCUGCGGCGGCGAGGUUUCGGGCGACGGCGAGGGUCUGCGCGGUGCAGGGACGAGUGGUCUGGGUGGCAACGGGCCGUUCCUGUGCGAGAUUCGAGGCCUCAGGUGAACCCGAAUCGAGGCACGCAAGGAGAGGCGGGCCUUCCAAGACUUGCAGGAUUUUGGACUGUUGGUCCAGUGGGUGUUGGGGAAAGCCUCUCUCUCUCUUUAGCUCUCGUUCUGGGGGCGUAUCUCGGGAGAAAUUCUCUCCUAGCAGGGUGGGUGAGGGGCCCAUUGUAUUUAAUGCUAAUAUGGGAUUUGAUGUGGCCGCAUGUAUUACUGAAACUAAGUGGGAGGGAGGAAGGCAUAGUGCUCGACUAGCGAGACUCUGGAGACUAGCAAUGGGCGUCUGCAGUAUCCCGUUUCGACUUUUGAAUCAGGUGCGGCGCAAGGAGGUACCUUAGUGCUACCUUCCACGGCGGCGGACUUGGUCAUGACGGGGGCAUCAUCGAAUCUCCUCUUGGUCCGUUCCGGCGAAGACAGCCCCCUCCUUAACUUCCGCCGUCGCAGUGAGCGCCUUAAUAGUGUUGACAAGAGCUCGGUCCUGCACAAAGCUAUGUCGUGGAAGGCUAGGCUACUGGAAGGUGAGGGCAGCAGGGUGGUUGACCAUACUGUUCGAAAGGCCAUUCAUAAUAGUCGGUCCUGUGGGGUGAAUCUGGGAGUGGCGAAGGCGGAAAGUUUCGUCGGCUUCGCAGCUUAUUGUGCUUAGGGUGGGACGGUCUGUUGGUUUACUGGUUGACCUUUGGGUCUCUUGGGGUCUUGGGGUUCAGGGUGUCUUAGUGUCUUUUUAGAUGUUUCGUGUUUGUAGUUGGAAUGUUAGAGGGCUUAACGACCCGUCUAAAAGUAACGCCGUUAGGGCGGUGAUCUCUAAGUUAUGUAAUGCGGUAGUGUGUCUUCAGGAGUCUAAAGUGAGUCAUGUUUCGGGAUCCUUUCUGAGAAGCUUUGGUGGUUCGUUUAUCGACAAAUGCGUUUUUGUGGAAUCUAAUGGUGCCUCUGGGGGUUUAAUAUAUUGCUGGAGUUCACGUGUCUUCUCUUGCCAUGAAGUCAUUGUGCGACGAUUUUCCAUUACGACACUGCUGACUCAUGUAGCAUCGCAAGCUAAGUUCUUUGUUACUAAUGUGUAUGGACCCCCCACGUAGGAAGGCAAAGAGGAGUUCUGCUCGGAGGUUGCUCAAUUGAAAGUAUGCUGCACGGGGAAAUGGAUUGUCUGUGGAGACUUUAAUAGUACUAGAGGACAGAACGAGCGGAGGGGGAAAACCUGGAGCCUAAAAGCAACCCACAUAUUCAACGAUCUUAUUAAAGGACUGGCUCUGAUCGAUCUGCCUAUGGUGAACCAAUCCUUCACCUGGUCUAACAUGCAGACGAACCCGACUCUAGCUAGACUCGACCAUUUUCUAGUUUCGACCGAAUGGGAUUUGGAUUAUCUGCUGACCAAGGUUGAAGCCUUACCCAGAGUGACGUCAGAUCAUUACCCUAUUCUGUUGACUACCAAGCGAUCCGAUACGCUGAAGAACAAGAACAAGAUCUUUCGCUUUGAAGAGGCAUGGUUGAACCACGAGGACUUUGUAUCAAAAGUCUUGGACUGGGGGAGGGAGGGGGCUCAGAAGAAAUCGGCUGUACUAGCUUUCGCCGAGAAACUUAGACACUGUAGAACAAGAAUUAAAGAGUGAUGUACGAACGAAUUUUACAGCAUCCGUGGACUUAAAUCUAAAAUUAUGGGAGAGAUCCAGGAAAUCGAUGGCUGUGAAGAACUGCGGGAGCUAUCACAAGACCAGUACUCGAAAAGAGAGGAGCUCAAAGAUAAACUUCGGAAGGUCUUAAACGACGAGGCGGACCUGUGGAGAAUCCGGGCCAAACAGCACUGGCUGCAGGAGGGGGACGGAAACACUAAAUUUUUUCAUUCCAUAGCAAACGAAAGGAAAAGAACAAAUGGUAUUGGUACGAUUAAGGACAACGGAGGUGUGUACCAAUCAGACGACGAAAAGAGGAACUAUUUUUAUCGCAAAUUUAAGGAGCUCUUCACGUCGGAUGCGACGACCCCGACUUCCUUUGGGGAUUGGAGCGGCCUCUUCACCACGAACCGCGUGUCCAAACCCAAUAUAGCCCGUCUGACCGAACCAUUUAGUACCGCAGAAAUUAAGGAAGCAAUAUUCCAACUAGGGAGCGACAAGGCGCCAGGUCCGGAUGCAUUUCCGCUAAGGUUUUAUCAACUCUUUUGGGAUUCUUUAGAAGGGGAUAUAUCGGCGCUCUUCCGCGACAUGCAUGAGGGAAGACUUACCACUGACCCUAUUGACUACUCGUUCAUCUGUCUCAUUCCCAAAAAAGAGGGGGCGGAGCGGGCGAGCGAAUUCCGGCCUAUAAGCUUACUUAACGGUAUCCAGAAAAUCCUGUCGAAGGUCUUGGCUAACCGGCUGGAACCGAUUAUGGAUGACCUUAUUUCCCCUUCCCAGUCGGCAUUCCUGAAGGGGAGGAGCAUAUCUGACGCCUUCGUUGCAGCAUCUGAAUUACUUGGCUGGGGAUGUAAGAAGGCUAUCGAAGUGGUCGGGUUGAAGGUGGACUUCAAAAAAGCUUACGAUCGGAUCAGUUGGCCUUUUCUAUUCCAAAUUCUAGACUGGUUCGGCUUUGACACUAAAUGGAUCGAUUGGAUCAAGCUUUGUGUGUGCUCGGCAAAAGUAGCGGUCUUGGUUAACGGAGCGCCAACUAAGUGGAUUAAGACAAAAAGAGGGGUUAGGCAAGGGGACCCUCUAUCCCCCUUUCUUUUCUUGCUAGUGGCUGAGUGUUUGGCCAGGAUGACGACUGUAACAUUUAAUAACAAUCUACUCAAGGGCUUGGGUCCAUCCGAGGCGAGUAGGAUAUCCAUCAUCCAGUUCGCGGACGACACUUUCUUCUUCUGCGAAGCUAAAAAAAGGUAUAUUAGAAAUUUGAAGUUCUUGUGGCAGCUGUUCAAAUGGGCCACUGGAAUGAAGGUCAAUAAGGAGAAGUCAGAACUGUUCUAUACGUGACGAUUUGAAGGAAAGGCAAGAAGCCUGGCGGACUUACUUGAGUGUAGUGUGGGUACCCUCCCUACCAAGUAUCUUGGUCUUCCACUAUCUAGUAGAGCUCCUUCGAAGGCGGACUGGAUGGGAGUAAUCCACAAAAUCCAAAGUAGAAUCGACGGAUGGCAAGCUAAACUUCUCUCCAGAGGAGGUAGACUGGUGCUGGUGAAUGCGGUCUUAACCAACAUACCUCUAUUUUACUUGUCUACCUUCAAGGAGCCCAAAUGGGUGAUCAAACGCAUUGAGGCACUUCAGAGAGACUUCUUUUGGAAAGGUAGUAGCCACACCCCAGGCAAGGGUAGCCUGAUUGCCUGGAAAAACGUCUGUAUAAGCAAGAAAGAAGGAGGGCUCGGUAUCUUGGACCUAGCCGUUAUGAAUCAAGCGCUACUUGCCAAAUGGUGGUGGAAGUUCCACACAGCACCUCAGCUACAGUGGAGCAAGAUUAUCCGCGAUCUAUAUUACCGCAAAAGAAGACCAUUAAAGGAGGGAAGAUCCUUUAGGCCCCGGUCACACUGGUGGAAAGGUGUCCUAUGUCACUCCGAUAUCUUCAAAUGGGGAGUAUACUAUAAAUUGGGGAAUGGAAGCACUAUUGAUUUUUGGUUGGAUAGAUGGUGUGGGGAGAAGACCCUGCAGCUGGCCUACCCAGAGGUGUAUGAUACGGCAGAAUGCAAGACUGUUAAAGUUAAGGAUUGUUUGGGAAGCGGUGGGUGGAACUGGAAUAUGAUUCUAGGAGGCGAAGGCGUAGGUAAUCAGGUUUUGAGCCCCACCUGGUCAGAAUUUUAGGAUCUUAUCUCUGCUAGCACAGGUAAUCAAAACCCUGACACGAUCAUUUGGCGGUGGGACCCCGGGGGGCGUUUCUCGGUAAAGUCGACAUACUCUACGCUGACGGACGGAGGUACGAGGGAUGGCUGGGCAAACGCACUGUGGAGGCUUCGUGUACCCCUAAAGGUUAAGGUGUUCUGCUGGCUCGCCCUUAAAAAGAGACUACUUACGGCUGAAAACCUUAUACAAAGAGGGUGGAGCGGUGACACGACUUGCGUCCUGUGCGGUUCUGAGGAGGAGAUCGUGGACCACUUGUUCUCAUUUUGUGUCUUUGCUAAAUUCAUUUUCGUGAUGGCACUGGAGGGUGACCAAGUUCUGGGUUCGGGAGAUGGUGUUCUAGGGGUGUGGGAUAGAUAUACGAGUUCGAAGAGCACACAUUCUAAGUUUACCAAGCUUCCGGAACUAGCGGCUUGUUGGUGGAUCAUCUGGGAGAGCAGGAACCACGUGAUCUUCAGGACGACCCAGCCGGAUCCCCUGGGAUCUUUCGGUAAGGUUAAAAGGCUGGUGGGGCAUUGGGAACUAUUGCCGUAGAACCCUUUUUUUUUUUUUUUUUUGAGGUCUAGCUGCCUCACUCCCGUAGCCUAAUUCAUUUGAUCAAUGAAUGAAGCGGGUAGCAAGCUACCUUUUUCUCAAAAAAGUAAAAAAAACAUAUAAAUUGCUACUGCAGAGAAAAUAUUAUAAACCAAAUAUAUUCGUUCAAGUCCUAGAAAGAGGCUUUGCCAAUUUAUUGAAAUUCACAAUUUAUAUUUUUAUUUUACUGUAUGCUUUCUAUUGGCAAUGGUCAUAUAAAUUGGCUAUUCAUUACAUACUAGUGAACGCCUGCGCUUCGCGGUGGAAAAUUUACGUAAUUUUUUAUAUAUUUUAGUCAAUUUUUUUUAAUUUUUAAAUUUUAAAUUUAAUUUUAAAUUUUAAACUGCAAGAAAUUGAAGAAAGAGGACAAUUAAAAAACUUAUUUUAUAUGUAUUAUUUAUAAACUAAUUAAUUAUAUCAGAAUAAAUAAAUUUAAUUAAUUAUUUAAUUUAUAGAGUUUAAAAAAUUAAAAUUUUAAACUUUGAAGUUUAAAUUUGAAAUAAAUAUUAUAUAUCAACAUUUAAAUUUUAAAUUUAAAUAUAAAGUAUAAAGUUUAAAAAGUAAAAAGUUAAAAAACUCUCUCUCUCCCUCUCUCUCUCCCUUUCUCUCUCUUCCCCCUGGCUCCCCCUCUCUCUCUCUCUAGAAGAGAGAGAGAGAGAAAGAGAGAGGACAGAGAAGAGAGAGAGAGAGGGAGGAGAGUUUAUAUGUAUUAUUUAUAAACUAAUUAAUUAUAUUAUAUAAAACAGAAUAAAUAAAUUUAAUUAAUUAUUUAAUUUAUAGAGUUUAAAAAAUUAAAAUUUUAAACUUUGAAGUUUAAAUUUGAAAUAAAUAUUAGAUAUCAACAUUUAAAUUUUAAAUUUAAAUAUAAAGUAUAAAGUUUAAAAAGUAAAAAUUUAAAAAACUCUCUCUCUCCCUCUCUCUCUCUUUCUCUCUCUCCCCCCUGGCUCCCUCUCUCUCUCUUUCUCUCUCUCUCGCUCUCUCUAGAAGAGAGAGAGAGAAAGAGAGAGGGGGAGAGAGAGACAGAGACAGAGAAGAGAGAGAGAGAGAGGGGGAGAGAGAGAGAGAGAGGCAGGGCGGGGCGUAGGUUCCAUCGAGCCCGCCAAACGCGGGGAGAACGCCGUACGAACUCUUCUUUCAUUAUAUUUACUAGUGAAGUCCCGCGCUUCGCGGCGGAAAAUUUAGGUAAUUUUUAAAAUCUUUUAAACAAACUUUUUUUGCUUUUUUAAUUUGUUAAUUUAAUUUAAAAUUUUAAACUUACAAAAAAUAAAUAUAAAAUUAUAUAUAAUAAAGAAAUAUACAUUAUAAAUAAAAUUAUAUAUAUAUAAUAUGUAAGUUAAAAUUAAAAUUUAAAAUUUAAAAUUUUAAAAUAGUAAAAUUCUCUCUCUCUUUCUCCCUCUCUCUUUUUCUUUCUCCCCUUACUCUCCCUCUCUCUCUCCCCGCGCACGCUCUCUCUCUCUCUUCCCCUCUCUCCCUCUCCCCACCUCCCCUGGUGCUCGCCCUCGCGCCCGCGCGCCCGCCCCGCUGCCUGGCCCGCGCCAGCGCGCCAGGCCUGCUGCUGCCCCCCGCGGCUCCGCGUCCCACUGCUGCCCGCCCGCGCCUCCGCCUUCGCCUCCCGCUGCCGCCCGCUGGGGAGAGGGAGAGAGAGAGAGAGAGAGAGAGAGAGAGAUGGCGGGGGGAGUAAAAGAGGGAAGAGAGGGGAGAGGGGGGUGGGGGGGGAAAGAGAGGGAGAGAGCAGUGGGGGAGGAGGGAGUGGUAAAGAGGAAGAGGAGGGAGGAAAGGCGCGCGCGGGGGCCGCGGGCCGGGAACCCCCCGGCGCGGCCCGCACCCGCCGGGUGCGGGUUGAGGGCACGUGGGGGAGAGAGAGGGGCCUCUCUCUCUCUCUGUCUGCUCUCUCUCUCUCUCUCUCCCUCUGUUCUCUCUCUCCCCCCCUCCCCCUNCCUUUCUGUCUGUUCUCUCUCUCCCCCCCCUCUCUGUCUGUUCUCUCUCUCCCCCUCUCUCUGUCUACUCUCUCUUUCUCUCUCUGGCCUCUUUCUCUCUACCCCUCUCUCUCGCGCGUGCUGCGGGCGCGGGUGGCCUGCACGCAGGCCCCCCGUUCUCUUUCUUUCUCUCCCUUUCUCUUUUCCUCGCGAGCGCGGAGAAGCGGCCACGUCGGCCACAGGAGAACUCUCGAUUCAAUUUAUCUAUAGAUAGAUUCGAUUUGUUUUCUUACUAUAUAAUUUAAGUAAUAAAUAUACCAGUGAAACUGUACAAACAUACUACGCAUUUAUCAAUUAUUUUUUUCCAACACCUGUUUCCUUACCAUGAAUUGAGUUUCAAUUUUUUUUUUUUUUUCCCUAUACUAGCGAAAGCUUGAAUGCAACGCAUGCAUUGCGCAAAAAUAAAGGAAAAAAAAAUUAAGGAGAUAGUUAUACUUGUAUAAAUUUUAUCUGGUUAUAAUUAUCUAAUCUGAUAGAAAAAUAAGAAGAAUUAUACUAGAUUUAUUCAAAUUUGUUUUAUCUAUAGAGCAAUACUUCAAUACACCAUAUAAAUCUUUACCAUUUAUUUAGAAAAAUAGCUGAGAUAUAAUAUGACUCUAGGGGUGCGUUUGGUUCGCGCUAUCUUUUAAAGAUUCUUAAUAAUCCAAUGGGAAUAAAAAAAUGUGACGGUGUUUGGCUAAACGUACUAAGUAAUCUAGUUAGUAAUAUUGGAUUCACUUGGGAAUAAGAUUCACCCCAAAGUACUAAUCUCAUUCCCUUGAGGGAGGGUGGGUAUUCUCAUAUUAAUGGAUUGAGGUAAUCAUAAUAUGUCUAAUCUCUUUUUUUCUUCCUACCCGCCAGCUAAUUGAUAUUAUUUUUCUUUACACUCUAACCCUAUAUCUCUCUCUAAACUUAUAUUUCUCUCUAAAAUUCAACUUUUUUUUCUCUCUCUAAACUAAGCUUUCUCUCUCUCUCUCUUUCUAAAAUUUCAACUCUCUCACUCCCUCUAAUUUCGACUAUAUUUUUCUUUUUAUUUUUUUAAUUAUACUCGUUCUCCCUUUUUUCUAAAAAUAUAUUGAAACUUUUGGUAACAUUAUUUAAAAUUAAAUAAAUUAAUUAAUUAAUUAAUUGUAUAUUUUUUGUAAUAUUAAAUAACAUGGCUAAUUAAUAUUACUAUGCGAACCAAACACAGGAAUUCCGCAUUCUUAGUAAUAGGAUGAAUAGGAAUAAGAUUCUCGGAUAUCUUUUAUUCCUAGUAAUCUUUCAUAAUGCGAACCAAACCCACCCUAGAGGUGACCUACUAUUGAGUUAUAGGUGUCAUUCACCAUAUAUCUAUUUAGUGGGUAUUUUGGUUUUUACAGAAUAUUUUGGCCCAUUAGAUCAGUUUUAUCCAACUAAAAGUACUAUAAACUUUUCAAAUACCUACAACAAUAAUUAAAAUUUAAAUUACAUCCAAAUUGUAAAUUUUAUUUGGAAACAACAUAAAAAACUUAAUUAUGAAUCAAAUUCAACUUUUUAAAAUAAACUACAAAUUUAAAAUAGAACUUUCAGUUCAAAUUCAAAAUUUCAAUCUAAAUCAGAAAUUAAAAUUUGGCUUUAAGAUUAAGGACUUGUUUGGUUCAUCCAUUUUAGAUAUGGAAUGGGAAUCGGUUUGAGCAAAUCCGGUUAAUUUUGUUUGGUUCGCAUGAAUCGGUUUGGGAUUCCUAUUCCGGACUGGAAUGGGAAUGGCCCAUUAGCCUUCAACUUGAUUCCGGUCUUUUAGCUCGGAUUGAGAUUUCAUUCCGAAAGCCCACUAAGUUUUCAAAGCCCAUGUGACCAUCUCACCCUCCUUCUCUUCAUCCCUUUCUCAUAAAAAAAAAUAUAUAUAUUCUCUCUCAAAAUCCUAUUCCUAACCCACAUUAAAAGUUUUUAAAAAUAAAUUUGAUAUUUUUUUUGAAAAACUUAUUAGAGAAUAGUAUUAUAUUUUUUAUAAAUUUUAAAUAAUAUAAAUUUAUAUUUGAGAGUAAAAUUAGUAUUAUAGUAUCCUAUAAUUUUUUUAGUUUAUAGGAACCAAACAAUGAAAUGUGAAUAACUCAUUUCAAUUCCCAAUCCACAAAUAAACCAAACGUCUUGGAGAAGUGGGCCAUUCCAAUUACCAUUCUAAUUCAUUCCCAUUCCAUUAUCCAUUCCAAUUCCACCCUUAAACCAAACAAGCCCUAAAAGUACAAUUUAGAUUCAAAUUUUAAAAGUUUAAUUUAAAUUUCAAAAUUAAAAUUUUACAUUACAAUACCAAAUUCAAAAAUUAAAUUAAAAUUUAAAAUUUAUAGGAUACUAACAAAUUUGGUAUAUACUACUAAUUCUUUUCUAAUAUUGUCAUAUUAACUAAUCCAAAUCUGUAACCUGUUCAGCAGGUUAAUUUAUUUAAAAUCCAACAAUCCAUACCCUUUACUAAUUAAGGAUUAGAUUUUAAAUUCAUGGUGUAUUGAUGAAACAUUACUCUUAAUUUAAAAGUUAAAUCAUGUCAGUACGCUAAAAACUUUUGGAGAAUAAAAUCAAAUAAAAAUUUAUAAGGGCAUAUUUCAAAUAUAAACGUAUUUUCAGAAUAGGAUGGGUAUUUCGAAAGAAAAUUUUACGGACCUAAGAUUUUUUAUUGGCUCUCAUGUACACACCUGCACGAGAAAAAAAAAAAGGAAAAAAUAAAAAAAUAAAUAAACUUAAAAAAUAAUUUUAAAGACUGUAUUUUUAGGAGAAAAUUUGCCAGAUUUAAGAUCCGUCAAAUUUUUGUUCGUUAUUUUGUAUAUAGUACAGAUUUAAGAUCUCACAUAGAAGAUGUGAUUUUUCGUCAUUGGUCAUCAAUUCCUUCCAUUGUCCUUUAUACUGCACACACCUCACCUUUUUUUUCUUCGGAAAUAUGUAAAUAAUCUAUUUUAUAGUUGGAACUGUCCCCUUAUUAGUUUCUUUCUUGUUCACCUAUUUAUUUUGUGGAUGUGAAACUUGGUUCUGAUUUUUUUAAUUUGUACUUCUCAAUUUGUUUUUUUUAAAAAAAAUUUUUGAGAUUCAGGUGAUCCUCUCCAUGGAUUCAAGCCAACGUAUGCAGUAUUUCUCAAUGUCGGCCAGCUGUGUCAUCAUUUGCAUAAACACUAUUAUUUAUUUGUCCUCUAGAUUGUUUCUAUAAACUCUGAUGCUGUUAUCGUAUGUAUUUUUUGUUUCAGUUUAUUCUUUCAAUCGCGUACUCUGUGUGUUGUUUUGCACAAUAAUGUAUAACGUAUGAUAUAUAGUAAUAUUCGAUGGGACUUAUUCUGUAAGGAAAAUAUUAUUGAUAAUAAUGUGCCGUUUUGUUGAAACAUUUGCAUCUGCACUAACUUGAUUUUUCGUAUUCUCGAUGGAUUUACUACUAUUAUAUACUUUACGAAGACUAACCAAAACACAAUACAAGGAACUCUUACAAUACAAGACAAAUAGAAGCAACUUCUAUCCAGUUGGGGGCGUUUGAUUGAGAAAAUGGAUAAAAGUGGCAGGCUGUGGAAAGGAUAGUUUCGAUCUACUAUGGGCAUGCUGACUUAAUCUAUCAGUAAUGGGUUGUCUAGCAUAUUUUGAUCUUACAGAUGGUUGAAAGAGUCUAUUUUACCCAAUCACUUUAUAGGGAAAGUUACAUAGGACUAACUUUCUAAUUAUUGCGAUUACUUUCUUAACCUUUUUCUCGGUAUUUUAAUUGGAUCUAUUCUGUUGUAAUCUCCAUUAAUUUGUAUGGAUCUUCCCAUCUCAGUAACAAUGUAAUGCAGAUAAAUCUCGUGGACUGAUUGUUUAAAUACCUGAAGAAGUCAAUCAAAGCGAAUAUUUGAACAACAAUCGACUAAACAAAAGCCUAGCACGUCACCCAAUCCGCACUCUGAAAAACACGCAAUUUAUAGGAACACUUGAAGAGCUUAUAAGAAAGUGGAGUACAACACUCAAAAAAGUUAACAUUUGCUAAUUAAAAUCUAUGAGCUCACUUUUAGUCUCAUAUUUGUUUAUAUGUUUUACUUAAAUAAAUAAGCAUAUUCCGCCUAUGACAUUAUUUAUUUCAUUCCGGAAAAAAGUGCACAAUUGUAGUAGAUAAACUACGUGCUCUUCACAUUGAUCAAUUACUGCAUGCCCUGCCCCUUAAGUAGUGAACAAAAGCAGUGCUCAAAAAGAGAAGUGCUGAACAAAACGUUCACGCAUCCAACAGCGUACCGAGAUAAGAUGCAAUUGAGAAGUGCUGAACAAAAUGUUCAUGCAUCCAACAGCGUACCAAGAUAAGAUGCAAGCGGCGUUUGUUUCACUCUCACACACAAAUUACAACCACAGUUUAAGAUCAGGAUGCCUAAGCAUGACCAUCUUUUCCUCUUUCUGCCUUCCUCCCUUUUUUUCACUUUCCAAUAAACAAACUGCAAAUAUGGAAUAAAUUCUAAAACUCAACGCAUUUUACCUUCUUCACAAAAUACCUUAAAAAGAAUGAAAACGAGAAUAAAAUGGUUCAAUUUUAAGGAGAAGGAAGGGUAGUUGCAAAUUAUAUUAUAUGACCAGAAAUGUAUAUUACAAGGAUCUUUCAACCAUUUUGGACCUGAAAAAGGUAGCACGAAAACAAUUUAAACAAGAAGAAAAAAGUGAUGCUAAGAAAAUAUAGUUAAGCAAACAUUUAUACACAACAGUAAGAUAAUAUUGGCACUUCAAGUUUAAUCGGGCAGUCAUAAGAAGCGCAAAGCUCAUUUUACAGGUUGAACUUCAAUAGCUAUGUAGCUAACUCGCUUUCCGAACAGAACAUCAAAAUGCAAAUAAGCAUUUCCACUAUCUGACUGAAUUGAUUGAAUGCAAAUGCAACUGUCAAAAUUACUUUGGCAUGGCAAGUAAGAUCCAUGACUAGUUCAUCAGUUUCAUCCCAAAACUCAAUUUAAAAAGACAAAUAUAUGGCAUAAUUUGCAUUUAAAAUGUUAGUUAUAUACAGUUUUAUGUAAAUAUAUUGAAUAAUAAAUAUAUCUCUAUAUUCAACUUUUUAUAUUUAUCUCUGCAAAGGUCCUAAUGUUAUUAAAUAUGCCUCUACUAUUAGAAUCCGUUAAAAAAUUAUAGUUAACUAUAGGUAAAAUACUUAACUCUGGUUAGUGAAUGAGGUAAAUUGAUUAUUUUAUCUUUUUAUAUUAUUUGUGAUGACAGAAAGAAAGAUGUCCAUUUGAAAUUUUUGGAAGGAUAAUUUUGUAUAAUUCUAACCGUUGAGACUUUAGGAGGGAUAUAUUUAUGAUGACAAAAAUAUCCUUUCACUUAUCUUCUGUUAAAAAAUAAAUUGUUGCCUAGAUCCAAUAUUGUUUGCACGGAAUCUACUUUUUAAUAGUU
rnacentral:lncRNA from 1 species